CCUACGGGAGGCAGCAGUGAGGAAUAUUGGUCAAUGGACGAGAGUCUGAACCAGCCAAGUAGCGUGAAGGAUGACUGCCCUAUGGGUUGUAAACUUCUUUUAUAUGGGAAUAAAAUGUUCCACGUGUGGGUUUUUGUAUGUACCAUAUGAAUAAGGAUCGGCUAACUCCGUGCCAGCAGCCGCGGUAAUACGGAGGAUCCGAGCGUUAUCCGGAUUUAUUGGGUUUAAAGGGAGCGUAAGUGGAUUGUUAAGUCAGUUGUGAAAGUUUGCGGCUCAACCGUAAAAUUGCAGUUGAAACUGGCAGUCUUGAGUACAGUAGAGGUGGGCGGAAUUCGUGGUGUAGCGGUGAAAUGCUUAGAUAUCACGAAGAACUCCGAUUGCGAAGGCAGCUCACUGGACUGCAACUGACACUGAGGCUCGAAAGUGUGGGUAUCAAACAGGAUUAGAUACCCCAGUAGUC
rnacentral:rRNA from 1 species